AUUGAACGCUGGCGGCAGGCCUAACACAUGCAAGUCGAACGCGUGGCGGACGGGUGAGUAAUAUCUAGGAACCUUCCUGAUGGAGGGGGAUAACUACUGGCAAUGGUAGCUACUACCGCAUACCCUCAGCUGUCCCCAGAUGGGAUUAGCUUGUUGGUGGGGUAACGGUGCACCAAGGCGACGAUCCCUAGCUGGUCUGAGAGGAUGACGAGCAACAAGGGACGUGAGCCAGGGUCCAGACGCCUAGGGGAGGAAGCGGUGGGGAAUAUUGGACAAGGGGCGCAAGCUUGAUGAAGACAUGCCGCGUGGAGGAAGAAGGCCUUCGGGUUGUAAAGUACUUUCAGCGGGGAGGCGUUAUCCGAAGAAGAAGCAACGGCUAACUACGUGCCAGCAGCCGCGGUAAUAC
rnacentral:rRNA from 1 species